UAUUUGGGAUGUGUCAAUGACGUGAA
rnacentral:piRNA from 1 species